rnacentral:lncRNA from 1 species
AUGGCCUGGUCCCUGGUUCCUGUCCCUUUGAGACCCCAGGGCACUUUGGUGAAGAAGCCCACAGACCAGCAGGGAGGUGGCAGGUGCCUCGUCCAAGCCAGAGGAGAUGCCCACCCUGGGGCUCGGUCCCCCGAGGACAGACAUGGGGAGGCAGUGCUGGCAGCACAGAGCUGUAGUGAUGCCAGCGCACCUGCCAGGCCCCAGCACAGCCCCGGCUGCUGGCCUGGUCUACAGCUCAUGGGCAGGGACCUCCAAGCCCGGCCGCCACAGAGGGGUCCCCUCUCUCACGUGCUCACCCCCCAUCGCGCACCAUGCAGGACCUUGCAUGCAAGACUCAUGGGGCCACUGUGGCCCUCAGAGACACCCAUCUCCCAGGGGGGCACAUUGAGGCUCCGAGGCCUGAAGGGCCCGACUCGAAGGUCAGGGCUCUCAGGAGGGACGGGAUCCGGACGUCUGAGUCUCAGAGGAGCAGAUGCACUCACCUCCAUCCAGGGGCCUCCGGCACAGGAGCCAUGGCCUGCAGGAAGGACAGAAACGCCCAGGACACGGUCCUCCUGCACCUGGCAGCCCCACCUCCACCUGCCCAGGGUCUGCGCUACCUUGUCCAGGCACAGAGGCAGUAGAGCAGGGCAAUCCCUGGGCACCAACAGAGGCAACGAAGUUCUUCCCAGGCAGCAGCUGCUCCCCGGGACGGAGCAGCCACGGGGUCCUGUCCUUGGGGCAGCGAGGACGAGGGACAUCAACACCUCUUCUGGAAGGGCGAGGAUUCUGAAGCUGGGCAUCUCCGAUUACAUCUCCUGGGGAUGGACGAUCGUGGUGACCUGGGGGCAGCCAGAGAAGCCACGGGGUCCUGUCCUUGGGGCAGCGAGGACGAGGGACAUUCAACACCUCUUCUGGAAGGGCGAGGGUUCUGAAGCUGGGCGAAUUGGAAUCCAUCUUCCUGAGGAUGAUUGUGGUGACCUGAGGGCAGCUAGAGAGGCAAGUGGUCCUCUCCUUGUGGCACCGAGGAUAGGGGACAUUCAACCCCUUUUCUGGAAGGGCGAGGAUUCCGAAGCUGGGUGUCUCGGAGUCCAUCUCCCGGUGGACGAUCGUGGUGACCUGGGGGCAGCCAGAGAAGCCACGGGGUCCUGUCCUUGGGGCUGCGAGUACAAGGGACAUUUGAAACCUGUACAGGAAGGGCAAGGAAUCCAAAGCUGGGUGUCUCAGAGUCCAUCCAGCCCGGAUCUGCCACGGUCUCUUCCCCUCCUUAGACCCGAGUACAGAGCUGCACACAGCCAGCGCCCACGCUGCUGA